GUAGGUGGCAAGCGUCGUCCGGAAUUAUUGGGCGUAAAGCGCGCGCAGGCGGUUCUUUAAGUCUGAUGUGAAAGCCCACGGGCUCAACCGUGGAGGGUCAUUGGAAACUGGAGAACUUGAGUACAGAAGAGGAAAGCGGAAUUCCACGUGUAGCGGUGAAAUGCGUAGAGAUGUGGAGGAACACCAGUGGCGAAGGCGGCUUUCUGGUCUGUAACUGACGCUGAGGCGCGAAAGCGUGGGGAGCAAACAGGAUUAGAUACCCUGGUAGUCCACGCCGUAAACGAUGAGUGCUAAGUGUUAGGGGGUUUCCGCCCCUUAGUGCUGCAGCUAACGCAUUAAGCACUCCGCCUGGGGAGUACGGCCGCAAGGCUG
rnacentral:rRNA from 1 species